CCUACGGGGGGCAGCAGUGGGGAAUAUUGGACAAUGGGGGGAACCCUGAUCCAGCCAUGCCGCGUGUGUGAAGAAGGCCCUCGGGUUGUAAAGCACUUUCAGUGAGGAAGAACGCCUGGUGGUUAAUACCCAUCAGGAAAGACAUCACUCACAGAAGAAGCACCGGCUAACUCCGUGCCAGCAGCCGCGGUAAUACGGAGGGUGCGAGCGUUAAUCGGAAUUACUGGGCGUAAAGCGCGCGUAGGUGGCUUGAUAAGCCGGUUGUGAAAGCCCCGGGCUCAACCUGGGAACGGCAUCCGGAACUGUCAAGCUAGAGUGCAGGAGAGGAAGGUAGAAUUCCCGGUGUAGCGGUGAAAUGCGUAGAGAUCGGGAGGAAUACCAGUGGCGAAGGCGGCCUUCUGGACUGACACUGACACUGAGGUGCGAAAGCGUGGGUAGCAAACAGGAUAGAUACCCUGGUAGUC
rnacentral:rRNA from 1 species